rnacentral:rRNA from 1 species
GACGUAGGGCGCGAGCGUUGUCCGGAUUUAUUGGGCGUAAAGAGCUCGUAGGCGGUUCAUUGCGUCGUCGGUGAAAUUCCGCAGCUCAACUGGGGAAUUGCCGACGAUACGGGUGGGCUGGAGUUCGGUAGGGGAGACUGGAAUUCCUGGUGUAGCGGUGAAAUGCGCAGAUAUCAGGAGGAACACCGGUGGCGAAGGCGGGUCUCUGGGCCGAUACUGACGCUGAGGAGCGAAAGCGUGGGGAGCGAACAGG